CCCUCCCGACUCUAUCUCUUUCUCUCGUCUCUCUCUCUCAUAGCUCCCUCAUCUCUCUUCUCUGCAGCAACCCGCACGCACGCACCCGUCUCCCCCGCGCGAAGAAGACCCAUCUCCUUCUUCUCUCUCCCUCUGUCCCGUGCUGCGAGCCCAGAAACCGGAGAGGAACUCCGGCGAAACCUUUAUUUUUUCCCGGUUGGGACGAAUCGAAGCCGGGUGUAAGCACACCCAACUCCGGCGAUCCCGAGGGUGUCGGGGCUUUUUCUGGCCAUCUCCGGUCGUUCCACGACGAAAGGAAGGACCUACGAACGAGGAUUACGAUAUAAGCUACGAGGCCUUUCCCUACCAGUGAUCCAGUGCUAUACUUCUUCUGCUUCGACAUCUUUUGUAAUAUAGCACAUCUCUAUCUUAAAUUCUGUUUGUACUCUGUAAUAGACGUAUGCUCUGACAUUAUGUGUGGAUCCUAAUGUUGUUAAUUAGAAGUUGAUUUGGUAGUA